UUCCACAAUUUGACAUUCUAAAUCAGCUUGAAUCACUCAACAUCUCUGGUAGGGCCCUUAAUCAGGGAGAAUUGAGCUUCCCCCUGAAUUUAAAAAAAUUGACUUUGUCUAGGCUUCGCCUGCCAUGGAAACAUAUGUCUGCUAUUGGGAGACUACAAAACCUUGAGGUUCUCAAAUUACUUUCUAAUGCCUUUGAGGGCCGGAUAUGGGACAUGAGGGAAGGGGAGUUCCUAAAGUUGAAAUUCUUGAAGUUAGAUUCUCUGAAUGUUGUUGAGUGGAAUGCCACUUGCGAUCACCUUCCCAACCUUCAGCAAUUAGUUUUGCGACACUGCAAAGAACUUGAGGCAGUUCCAUUCUCUUUUGGGGAAAUUCCUACCUUGCUGAUGAUUCAAGUGCAACGUUGUGGCCUUUCCACAGAAGAGUCAGUCAGGGACAUUGAGGAGCAAGGGAUUGAAGGCCUCAAGAUCUUCAUCAGUCAUUAAGAUUUGUAUUUCAGAUGGAAAUAGAAGACUUUUUCUUUGAGGAGUUGAACAUAAUGGAAGAGUUUGAGAUAUCUUAAAACGUCAAAAAGGAAGGAAUUUGACAGCUUCUUAGCGGGAAAUUCUGCAGAAAGAAGUUGCAGCUUUAGAUAAGUUGUCUGGGCUUAUUGUGGAGGUUCAAUACCAAGCAGACGUAUCAAACACAAUUUUGUGUGGAAUAAGAUGCUUUAUG